rnacentral:rRNA from 1 species
GAAAAGCCCUCGGCUUAACUGAGGAAUAGCAUCGGAAACUGUCUUUCUUGAGUGCAGAAAGAGGAGAGUGGAAACUCCAUGUGUAGCGGUGGAAUGUGUAGAUAUAUGGAAGAACACCAGUGGCGAAGGCGGCUCUCUGGUCUGUAAACUGACGCUGAGGCUCGAAAGCAUGGGUAGCGAACAGGAUUAGAUACCUCUGGUAGUCCAUGCUGUAAACGAUGAGUGCUAAGUGUUGGGAGGUUUUCCGCCUCUCAGUGCUGCAGCUAACGCAUUAAGCACUCCGCCUGGGGAGUACGACCGCAAGGUUAAAACUCAAAGGAAUUUGACGGGGGCCCGCACAAGCGGUGGAGCAUGUGGUUUAAUUCGAAGCAACGCGAAGAACCUUACCAGGUCUUGACAUCUAGUGCCAACCUAAGAGAUUAGGCGUUCCCUUCGGGGACACUAAGACAGGUGGUGCAUGGCUGUCGUCAGCUCGUGUCGUGAGAUGCUGGGUUAGGUCCCGCAACGAGCGCAACCCUUAUUAUUAGUUGCCAGCAUUAAGUUGGGCACUCUAAUGAGACUGCCGGUGACAAACCGGAGGAAGGUGGGGAUGACGUCAAGUCAUCAUGCCCCUUAUGACCUGGGCUACACACGUGCUACAAUGGGCAGUACAACGAGGAGCGAACUUGUGAAGGCAAGCGAAUCUCUGAAAGCUGUUCUCAGUUCGGACUGUAGGCUGCAACUCGCCUACACGAAGCUGGAAUCGCUAGUAAUCGCGGAUCAGCACGCCGCGGUGAAUACGUUCCCGGGCCUUGUACACACCGCCCGUCACACCAUGAGAGUUUGUAACACCCAAAGCCGGCCGGAUAACCUAGUUU